rnacentral:rRNA from 1 species
AAUUGAACGCUGGCGGCAGGCCUCCCUCUUGCAAGUCGAACGGUAACGGGAAGAAGCUUGCUUCUUUGCUGACGAGGGGCGGACGGGUGAGUAAUGUCUGGCAAACUGCCUGAUGGAGGGGGAUAACUACUGGAAACGGUAGCUAAUACCGCAUAACGUCCCAAGACCAAAGAGGGGGACCUUCGGGCCUCUUGCCAUCGGAUGUGCCCAGAUGGGAUUAGCUAGUAGGGGGGGUAACGGCUCACCUAGGCAACAAUCCCUAGCUGGUCUGAGAGGAUGACCACCCACACUGGAACUGAAACACGGCCCAAACUCCUACGGGAGGAAGCAGUGGGGAAUAUUUUUUUUUGGGCGCAAGCCUGAUGCACCACCGCCGCGUGAGUGAUGAAGGCCUUCGGGUUGUAAAACUCUGUCCUAUGGGAAGAAUAAAAUGACGGUACCAUAGGAGGAAGCCCCGGCUAACUACGUG